GGAAUUAUUGGGCGUAAGCGCGCGCAAGUGGUUUCUUAAGUCUGAUGUGAAAAGCCCACGGCUCAACCGUGGAGGGUCAUUGGAAACUGGGAGACUUGAGUGCAGAAGAGGAAAGUGGAAUUCCAUGUGUAGCGGUGAAAUGCGUAGAGAUAUGGAGGAACACCAGUGGCGAAGGCGACUUUCUGGUCUGUAACUGACACUGAGGCGCGAAAGCGUGGGGAGCAAACAGGAUUAGAUACCCUGGUAGUCCACGCCGUAAACGAUGAGUGCUAAGUGUUAGAGGGUUUCCGCCCUUUAGUGCUGAAGUUAACGCAUUAAGCACUCCGCCUGGGGAGUACGGCCGCAAGGCUGAAACUCAAAGGAAUUGACGGGGGCCCGCAAAAGCGGUGGAGCAUGUGGAUUAAUUCGAAGCAACGCGAAGAACCUUAAAAGGUCUUGAAUCGUCAGAAAACAAAAAAAUAGGGCUUCUCCAUCGGGAGCAGAUGAAAGGGGUGAAAGGAUAUCGUCAGCUCGUGUCAUGAAAUGGUUGAGUUAAGUCCCCGCGACGGCGCAACCCUUGGACUGAGUAGCCAUCGAAUAAAUAGGCAAUACUAAGAUGAAAUGCCGGGUGAC
rnacentral:rRNA from 1 species